rnacentral:rRNA from 1 species
UACGAAGGGGGCUAGCGUUGCUCGGAAUCACUGGGCGUAAAGGGUGCGUAGGCGGGUCGUUUAAGUCAGGGGUGAAAUCCUGGAGCUCAACUCCAGAACUGCCUUUGAUACUGAGGAUCUUGAGUUCGGGAGAGGUGAGUGGAACUGCGAGUGUAGAGGUGAAAUUCGUAGAUAUUCGCAAGAACACCAGUGGCGAAGGCGGCUCACUGGCCCGAUACUGACGCUGAGGCACGAAAGCGUGGGGAGCAAACAGG